AUAUCUGAUAGGUCCCCUACCCUGGAGCCAUAUAUUAAAUUGAUUUUUGACAGGGAGAUGGAAUAGGGGCUUGCUCCGUCCACUCCACGCAUCGACCUGGUAUUGCAGUACCUCCAGGAACAGUGCACCCCCA
rnacentral:snRNA from 1 species